rnacentral:rRNA from 4 species
GAUUCGUCACACUAUCAUUAACUGAAUCCAUAGGUUAAUGAGGCGAACCGGGGGAACUGAAACAUCUAAGUACCCCGAGGAAAAGAAAUCAACCGAGAUUCCCCCAGUAGCGGCGAGCGAACGGGGAGGAGCCCAGAGCCUGAAUCAGCAUGUGUGUUAGUGGAAGCGUCUGGAAAGGCGCGCGAUACAGGGUGACAGCCCCGUACACAAAAGCGCAUGUGCUGUGAGCUCGAUGAGUAGGGCGGGACACGUGGUAUCCUGUCUGAAUAUGGGGGGACCAUCCUCCAAGGCUAAAUACUCCUGACUGACCGAUAGUGAACCAGUACCGUGAGGGAAAGGCGAAAAGAACCCCGGCGAGGGGAGUGAAAAAGAACCUGAAACCGUGUACGUACAAGCAGUGGGAGCACCCUUCGGGGUGUGACUGCGUACCUUUUGUAU